rnacentral:rRNA from 1 species
GAUGAACGCUGGCGGCGUGCUUAACACAUGCAAGUCGAGCGAGUGAGUUCUUCGGAACGAUCUAGCGGCGGACGGGUGAGUAACACGUGGGCAACCUGCCUCAUAGAGGGGAAUAGCCUCCCGAAAGGGAGAUUAAUACCGCAUAAAAUUAUCGAGUGGCAUCACAUGAUAAUCAAAGGAGUAAUCCGCUAUGAGAUGGGCCCGCGGCGCAUUAGCUAGUUGGUGAGGUAACGGCUCACCAAGGCGACGAUGCGUAGCCGACCUGAGAGGGUGAUCGGCCACAUUGGGACUGAGAGACGGCCCAGGCUCCUACGGGAGGCAGCAGUGGGGAAUAUUGCACAAUGGGGGAAACCCUGAUGCAGCAACGCCGCGUGAGUGAUGAAGGUCUUCGGAUUGUAAAGCUCUGUCUUUGGGGACGAUAAUGACGGUACCCAAGGAGGAAGCCACGGCUAACUACGUGCCAGCCGCCGCAGUAA